rnacentral:tRNA from 1 species
GUUGUGGUUCAGUGGUAGAGUGCUUGUCUAGCACAUGUGAGGCACUGGGUUCAAUCCUCAGCACCACA